rnacentral:rRNA from 1 species
UUUAGAGUUUGAUCCCUGCUCAGAUUGAACGCUGGCGGCAGGCCUAACACAUGCAAGUCGAGCGGUAACAGAGAGGUGCUUGCACCUUUGCUGACGAGCGGCGGACGGGUGAGUAAUGCUUGGGAACAUGCCUUGAGGUGGGGGACAACAGUUGGAAACGACUGCUAAUACCGCAUAAUGUCUACGGACCAAAGGGGGCUUCGGCUCUCGCCUUUAGAUUGGCCCAAGUGGGAUUAGCUAGUUGGUGAGGUAAUGGCUCACCAAGGCGACGAUCCCUAGCUGGUUUGAGAGGAUGAUCAGCCACACUGGGACUGAGACACGGCCCAGACUCCUACGGGAGGCAGCAGUGGGGAAUAUUGCACAAUGGGCGCAAGCCUGAUGCAGCCAUGCCGCGUGUGUGAAGAAGGCCUUCGGGUUGUAAAGCACUUUCAGUCAGGAGGAAAGGUUAGUCGUUAAUACCGGCUAGCUGUGACGUACUGACAGAAGAGC